GUAAAAAUUACAUUGGACAAAGUUAAAUAGACAAGAGGGACUUUCUUCAAGGCUACUGCCAUAGGGAAGAAAGACCAGAACUCAAUCUGAGCUCCACUCAGCUGAAAGAAAUUCAGAACUGAGAUCACAAAAAUUGCCAGAAGGAGGUAAAUGCAUGAUUUUCCAUUCAGAACCGUCUAGCAAAAGGGACUGGUUUGGGAAGAACUUUUGAUGUCUCACAUGUGAUAUUCAAAGAUCCCUGGAACCACUUGAGAAAGAAGGCAAGUGAGAAAAUGAAAGGAGUAAAUCCAGUAAAGGUCUCAGCAAAUGCACCUGAGGAAGAUCUCUGUCCAAAACUUCAGAUAAAGAGACCUAGGAAUGAAGACAUCAGGACUGGGAAUGCAAAUUUUUGUGCUUUUGCUGCUGAUACCUCCGUUUAUAUUACAAAACUCUGAAUACAUUAUGAUUGUUUUUGCUUUCAAUUUCUGGUUAUCUUUUAAAGAAAUAAAAAAGAAUAAAAUAUUGUCUUUUAUAUCUAUCUCACAUAUAUACCAUUUUCAAAAUAUUUUUUGUCCUUAAUGGUUUUGAGUUUCCAUUUGGUGUUAUCUGACGCUGUUUGAAGUGUAUCUUUUAGCAUUUCUUGUAGUCAGGACUAUUGGUCACAUUCUCUGAGUUCUUAUUUAUCUUGCUUUGUCUUUAUUUUUAACAAAUAUUUUCACCUGAUAAUGAAUUAUAAUUUGACAGAUUUUUUUUUCAGCACUUUAAGGGUACUGUUCCAUUGUGUUCUCUCAGGCAUCAAAAUCAUAAUAUUGGAGCAAUGCUGUCAAAAGUAUUUCUGUUGCCUAUGUCAACAAUAUAAUUGUAUUUUGUUUUACAAUGCUCAAUAUUGGAUAAUUAUAAUCUUUGAUAAUUUUAGCUACUAAAGAACAGUUACAUUUUAAAAUAUGGUUCAAUUGUUAUCACCAAAAGAAUGAUACCAGAAUGGGCCCUUUCUGGAAAACUCUUUAAGUAAUAGAAAGAGCAUAUCUAGGUGAUUUACCUUUUUCUAGAGUGAGCGCGUUUGGGCAUCAUUAUCAUGCAAUAGUAUAUUAUUAUAGUAUCAGUACAAUAUAUUGCUUCCAA